UUCACAGGUGGUGCAUGGCUGUCGUCAGCUCGUGUCGUGAGAUGUUGGGUUAAGUCCCGCAACGAGCGCAACCCCCGUCGUAUGUUGCCAGCAUUUAGUUGGGGACUCAUGCGAGACUGCCGGUGACAAACCGGAGGAAGGUGGGGAUGACGUCAAGUCAUCAUGCCCCUUAUGUCCAGGGCUACACACGUGCUACAUUGGCGCGUACAGAGGGCUGCGAUACCGCGAGGUGGAGCGAAUCCCUUAAAGCGCGUCUCGGUUCGGAUUGCAGGCUGAAACUCGCCUGCAUGAAGGUGGAGUUGCUAGUAAUCGCGGAUCAGCAUUGCCGCGGUGAAUACGUUCCCGGGUCUUGUACACACCG
rnacentral:rRNA from 1 species